UUGGCAACCUGCUCGGGUCCCCUUCCACACUGUGGAAGCUUUGUUCUUUCACUCUUUGCAAUAAAUCUUGCUACUGCUCGCUCUUUGGGUCCAUGCUGCUUUUAUGAGCUGUAACACUCACCGCGAAGAUCUGCAGCUUCACUCCUGAGCCCAGCAAGACCACGAGCCCACCGGGAGGAACGAACAACUCCAGACGCGCUACCUUAAGAGCUGUAAUACUCACUGUGAAGGUCUGCAGCUUCACUCCUGAGCCAGCGAGACCACGAACCUACCAGAAGGAAGAAACUCCGAACACAUCUGAACAUCAGAAGGGACAGACUCCAGACGUGCUGCCUUACGAGCUGUAACACUCACCGCGAGGGUCCGCGGCUUCAUUCUUGAGUUGCCAGAAUCAAAAUGGAGUCACUAAUGUUUAAAGAAAGAAGAGCCCUGACAAAUCGAGCCACAGAAGGCCAUGAAGAGAAGGUUCUUUAUGCUUGUAUGCCUCACAAAAAAGACUCUGGAAAAAUCGUAUCCUUGCACAGAAGCCACCAGAAAUUUCCAUAAAAAACACUGCAAGAACAUCUGCCCCCGAACUGCCUGUCCAACCUGGACUGACAUCAUCCUUGUUAUUGAUCUUUGUAGCCAAAUAUAAUUAUUUUAAAACAAUUGUGCAAUUCGCCUCUUUUCUUUAAAAAUCUUUGUCUUCCUUUACCUCCCUGAAUAUGCACAUAGUUUACUAUGACGGGUAUAUUCUCAUUGCAAUACUCUAUUCCCAAAUAAAUGUCUUUUUCUUUUAGAGAGCCUCCCUUUGUUAUUUAGGUUGACUUAUAUGGUGUCACUUGAAAGUGAUGUCUGGAUCCGCAGCAACCAUCUUACAACCUUGAAGUGACAAGCUGGAAGAAAAGGCCAGAAGAUGCACAUAGAGUUUAAUCCUGACAGAGAUGAGUUACUGAAGCAAUGCCAGUGACCUCCUAUCCGCUAAUUUACUAUUACUUAACAAACUUUUUUCUUUUUUUUUUUUGAGACAGGGUCUCGCUCUGUCACCCAGGCUGGAGUGCAGUGUUGUGAUCUCAGCUCACUGCAAACUCCAUCUCCCAGGUUCAAGCGAUUCUCAUGCUUCAGCCUCCUGAUUAGCUGGGAUUACAGGUGCG
rnacentral:lncRNA from 1 species